rnacentral:rRNA from 1 species
GGCCUUCGGGUUGUAAACCGCUUUCAGCAGGGAAGAAGCGAAAGUGACGGUACCUGCAGAAGAAGUACCGGCUAACUACGUGCCAGCAGCCGCGGUAAUACGUAGGGUACGAGCGUUGUCCGGAAUUAUUGGGCGUAAAGAGCUCGUAGGUGGUUGGUCACGUCUGCUGUGGAAACGCAACGCUUAACGUUGCGCGUGCAGUGGGUACGGGCUGACUAGAGUGCAGUAGGGGAGUCUGGAAUUCCUGGUGUAGCGGUGAAAUGCGCAGAUAUCAGGAGGAACACCGGUGGCGAAGGCGGGACUCUGGGCUGUAACUGACACUGAGGAGCGAAAGCAUGGGGAGCGAACAGGAUUAGAUACCCUGGUAGUCCAUGCCGUAAACGUUGGGCACUAGGUGUGGGGGACAUUCCACGUUCUCCGCGCCGUAGCUAACGCAUUAAGUGCCCCGCCUGGGGAGUACGGUCGCAAGGCUAAAACUCAAAGGAAUUGACGGGGGCCCGCACAAGCGGCGGAGCAUGCGGAUUAAUUCGAUGCAACGCGAAGAACCUUACCAAGGCUUGACAUACACUGGACCGUUCUGGAAACAGUUCUUCUCUUUGGAGCUGGUGUACAGGUGGUGCAUGGUUGUCGUCAGCUCGUGUCGUGAGAUGUUGGGUUAAGUCCCGCAACGAGCGCAACCCUCGUUCUAUGUUGCCAGCACGUGAUGGUGGGAACUCAUAGGAGACUGCCGGGGUCAACUCGGAGGAAGGU